ACGAACGCUGGCGGCGUGCCUAACACAUGCAAGUCAACUUGACGGAAGGAGCAAUCUGACCGUAGAGUGGCGCAAGGGUGCGUAACGCGUAAGUAACUUGCCCCAAGGUAAGGAAUAACGUCGAGAAAUCGGCGCUAAUACCUCAUAAUGCAGCGGAUCCGCAUGGAUAUGUUGUUAAAGGUUUACCGCCUUGGGAUAGGCUUGCGUCUGAUUAGCUAGUUGGUGUGGUAACGGCACACCAAGGCUACGAUCAGUAACUGGUCUGAGAGGAUGAUCAGUCACACUGGAACUGAGACACGGUCCAGACUCCUACGGGAGGCAGCAGUGAGGAAUGUUGGGCAAUGCUCGAAAGAGUGACCCAGCAACGCCGCGUGGAGGAUGAAGGUAUUCUAUAUCGUAAACUCCUGUGAGAGCAGACGAAAGACAGAUUAUUAAUCUGGAUGACUGUAUGCUCAGAGGAAGCCCCGGCUAACUACGUG
rnacentral:rRNA from 1 species